GACGAACGCUGGAGGCGUGCUUAACACAUGCAAGUCGAACGAUGAAAUGGAGCUUGCUCCAUGGAUUAGUGGCGAACGGGUGAGUAACACGUGAAUAACCUGCCCUUAAUUUUGGAAUAACCCAGGGAAACCUGGGCUAAUACCGGAUAAGUAAACCUGUGGCAUCACAUGGUUUUGGAAAGUUUUUCGAUUAAGGAUGGAUUCGCGGCCUAUCAGCGUGUUGGUGAGGUAAUGGCUCACCCAGGCGACGACGGGUAGCCGGCCUGAGAGGGUGAACGGCCACACUGGGACUGAGACACGGCCCAGACUCCUACGGGAGGCAGCAGUGGGGAAGAUUGCGCAAUGGACGAAAGUCUGACGCAGCGACGCCUCGUGAGGGACGAAGGUCUUCGGAUUGUAAACCUCUUACAGCAGGGACGAAGCGAAAGUGACGGUACCUGCAGAAGAAGCACCGGCUAACUAUGUGCCAGCCGCCGCAGUAA
rnacentral:rRNA from 1 species